ensembl:snoRNA
CUAAGCCUAUGAUGGUUGGUUUCCCCUGUCUGAAAAUCUGAACUGAGAGAAAAUAAUCUAUUCUGAGAUUUAG